GACGAACGCUGGCGGCGUGCCUAAUACAUGCAAGUAGAACGCACAGUUUAUACCGUAGCUUGCUACACCAUAAACUGUGAGUUGCGAACGGGUGAGUAACGCGUAGGUAACCUGCCUGGUAGCGGGGGAUAACUAUUGGAAACGAUAGCUAAUACCGCAUAAUAUUGAUUAUUGCAUGAUAAUUGAUUGAAAGAUGCUAUUGCAUCACUACCAGAUGGACCUGCGUUGUAUUAGCUAGUAGGUGAGGUAACGGCUCACCUAGGCGACGAUACAUAGCCGACCUGAGAGGGUGAUCGGCCACACUGGGACUGGGACACGGCCCAGACUCCUACGGGAGGCAGCCGUAGGGAAUCUUCGGCAAUGGACGAAAGUCUGACCGAGCAACGCCGCGUGAGUGAAGAAGGUUUUCGGAUCGUAAAGCUCUGUUGUAAGAGAAGAACGGGUGUGAGAGUGGAAAGUUCACACUGUGACGGUAUCUUACCAGAAAGGGACGGCUAACUACGUG
rnacentral:rRNA from 1 species